GACGAACGCUGGCGGCGUGCCUAAUACAUGCAAGUCGAACGCAUUUUCUUUCACCGUAGCUUGCUACACCGAAAGAAAAUGAGUGGCGAACGGGUGAGUAACACGUGGGUAACCUGCCCAUCAGCGGGGGAUAACACUUGGAAACAGGUGCUAAUACCGCAUAAUUCCAUUUACUGCAUGGUAGAUGGAUGAAAGGCGCUUUUGCGUCACUGAUGGAUGGACCCGCGGUGCAUUAGCUAGUUGGUGGGGUAACGGCCUACCAAGGCUGCGAUGCAUAGCCGACCUGAGAGGGUGAUCGGCCACACUGGGACUGAGACACGGCCCAGACUCCUACGGGAGGCAGCAGCAGGGAAUCUUCGGCAAUGGACGCAAGUCUGACCGAGCAACGCCGCGUGAGUGAAGAAGGUUUUCGGAUCGUAAAACUCUGUUGUUAGAAAAGAACAAGGAUGAGAGUGGAAAGUUCAUCCCUUGACGGUAUCUAACCAGAAAGCCACGGCUAACUACGUG
rnacentral:rRNA from 1 species